UCUAUUUUCUCUGUAAAACAUUCAAAGCGUAAUAGAGCUGAAGCGAAAUCAUAUUUACAUCUUGUGUUCACUUACUCAUUCAUUCUUCAAAAUCAAUUCUGAUUAAUAUCAUACUCAAUUCAUUGAUUCAUCAGUUCCAAUGAGAACAUUUUUCCCGUGAAAACAUUUGAGAACAUUUUUUAACCUAUGAGUUCAAAAAAACACGCUUUUUUGUUAUUCAAAUACAAAUUAUCCAACCUAACUUCCCCCACCAUAUUAUGUCAUUCUCUCUCCUCUCAUACAGACCUAAAUUGACAGUAUCGGACCACCACCGGAAACCGUCGGGAACCACCAGCCUUCAGACGUCUGACCACCUCUGAAUUGUCGGACCUCCGGUGUAAUAACCUUAUCGCCACCAUAUCGUUGUUGGAUCAACAAACUUCCGCCUUUUAAAUCCUUCCAAAUCUGCAACACCACCUCUCAUAAUCGAAAUCCAUCUUCGUCUACCUCUCAUCUUCUGGAACCAUCACCAGAUCUUGGUACAUCGGCUACUAUCAUCGGAUGUUGUUUCCCCUUUUCCUGUUCUAACCUUCUACAGCCACAAGAGCAAAAUCGUUUUUUGAAUUUCAACUCAAAUGCUCCCCCAUCUGCCUUACGAACACGCACUAAAUCACGUAUCCUCACUUAGUGAAGAAAAAUUUGAAGUCUAACGCAGGGAACUAUCAACAAUGUUGAUCUAGAAGUAUUUUUUUCCUUCAAUUAGAAACAUACUUCCUAGAUCCAGAUUUGUAAAGCACAAAAGGACUUCAAACCCUAAGCUAUCUCGAUUCAGUAGUAAAAACGUCCCACCAAAAGAUCCGAACAUUCACGUUUGUGAACUGCCUUCCGUUGUAAAGGAAUCAUCGUGAAUCGUCUCUGAUUUCAGAAGAAAAGUCACCAAAUUGGAAAUGCAGCAACAAGAACGUCCCCUCAAAUCCAUCUGUUUAGGUUAUAAUAUAAAAUUAUCAAUGCUUGAUGCUUGAGGUCGGCGUUUCAUCAUUCAUGCCUACUUUACAUUGGUCAUUUCCUUAAUGCCCUUUCUUUUCACUGUGCAUAUAUUUUUUUUAUUAAAUGCUUUUUUUUUUAUAUAUUUAAAAGUAAGAUACACUUCACAUAUGUUUUCUUUAGAUUUGUGUACUAUUUUAUUAGUUUUUUCUUUAUACAAUAAUGAGCUCGUUUUAGCAUAUGUCGACGCAUUCAUUUAAUUUUGAUUCCAAUAGCCUUCAUAAUUUAUUUUUAGGGGAAAAUAUAAAUCUAGCCAAAAUCCUUAAUUAUUUAUCAAAAAAUAGCAAAAAAAAAACUCUUUAGCCAAAAAUAGCCCACAAAAGAGUAGUCAACUAUAGGUUGACUAUUGUUUCGCCAAAUCGUCUACUGUUUCGAGUUUUGUAUAAUUUUUUUUUUCAUUUUUAGGAUACAAAACCGUAAGAUUUUUAAAACAUACGGUUUCCCUUUUUUUGUAGUUAAAACCCCCAAAACAGUAGAUUUAAAAAAAAAAAAAAAAAAAAAAAAAAAAAAAAAAAAAAAACGGUAUUUUUUUUACUAAAAACCAUAGCUACGGUUUGGGAAACCGAAGGUUUCAAGAGGAAACUGUAGGUUUUAAAAACCUAUGGUUUUUUAUCCUAAAAAUGAAAAAAAAUUAUACAAAACACGAAACAAUAGACGAAUAUCGAAACCGUAGGUUUCGUGGGCUAUAUUUAGACAUUUAUUAAUUUUUUACUAUAAAUUACUAAUGACUUCCUUAAUUUGGUUAGAUUAGUAAUUGCUCCUUGUUUUUAUUAUUAAUGCAUUAGAUGUUAAUUUGGAUAUCCAAGGUUUUGACAAUGUCAUAAAAUUAUAUUUUAUACACUUUAAAAUUUUAAAAUUCCAACUAUUUGAUGAUAUUCGUAAAGCGAGCAAACCUUCUACAAAUAAUGCUUAAUGUUUAAACAAAACUAAAUUAAAAUGUACAAAAAAAUAAAAUCUAAAUAGAAAACCCUUCAAAAAUUAUGAAGCUAAGUUUUGGCUUAUUCUAGCGGGUUUAAUAUUUUGAAUGGGGCAUCUAUUUCUUUUGCAUAUUGGAUACAUCAAGUAAAUAAUUAAUUUAAAUUUUGAAAAAUAUAUAAGAAAUGAAAUUAUAUAGAUUAAAAAGGAUAGUAGUUCAUAAAAAUGUAUUUUACAAAUAGAAAAUAACGUUUCUAGAACAUUUUGUAUGUACAAAAUAAAUCAUAUAAAUAUAAUUGGUUUUAUUUUUAAUGACAUAUAAUAUUUUGUGAUUAAUACAUAUAAUCACAUGUGAUUACAUACAUGAGAAUAAUAAUUGAAUUUCAAAUGUAAAAAUGAAUCUCGUUUACAUAAAUCAUAUGUGAUUAAAUACAUAUAACAUGUGAUUAAAUGCACAAAAACAAUUAUUGGAAUGAUAAAGCAAAAAAAUAUACAUUAUCCAUAUUAAUGGUAUCUGAUUAAAUACUUAUAAUCACAUGUGAUUAAAUACAUGAGAAAAUAUUGAAUCGAGAAUUUAAAAACGAAUAUUAUACAUAUAAAUCAUAUGUGAUUAGAUAAACAAAAUCAUAUAUGAUUAUAUGUAACUAAUUAGUUUGGAAGCUAAUGUGCGUUGAACUGUUGAUUAUUGUUGGAUGAGAACAAUACUAUGGAAAGGAUGAUGCAAUUUGUAAAUAGAGGAAAUGAUGUGGAAGCCAUUGCCAAAAAAUAAAAAAAAAUAAAAAAAAAUAAAAAAAAAAAAGCACCAUCAGGUGGAGAAACCACACUACACGUUUGAAAUAGGUAUAUUUUCUUGACUAUUUGACUUUAUAAUUAGGUUAAUAUCCAAUUGGUCCUUAAAUGUAAUUGUAUACACGAUAACAUGUAAUUAUAUACAAUAUACCAAAUAUUGAACCAAUAUUGUGAAAACAAAUGUUUAUCCAAAUUAAUCAUAUGUGAUUAAAUAGAUAUAAUCACAUAUGAUUAUAUGAAUCUAAUCACAUAUGAUUUAUGUGGACAUAAUUCCUUUUUGCUGUGUCGAUUUAAUAGUUUUUCUCAUGUAUUUUAUCACAUGUGAUUAUAUGUAUAAUCGUAUGUGAUUAAGUACAUGAGCACAACUAUUGAAUAUAGAAGGGAAAAAUGAAUGUUGUCCACCUCAAAUCAUAUGUGAUUAUAUACAUAUAAUCACAUGUGAUUAAUUACACAAAAGCAAUUCUUCAAUUGAAACCACAAAAAUAAAUAUUGUCUACAUAAAUCAUAUAUGAUUAAAUACAUGUAAUCACAUGUGAUUAUAUGUAUCCAAUCAUAUAUGAUUUAUGUAGACAAUAUUUAUUUUUGUGGUUUCGAUUGAAUAAUUGCUUUUGUGUAAUUAAUCACAUAUCCAAUCAUAUAUGAUUUAUGUGGAUACGAUUCAUUGUCACAUUCUCGAUUCAGUAAUCGUUCUUUGUCAACUGGAAUCAUAUAUGAUUAAAUACAUAUAAUCACAUGUAAUUAUAUGUAUCUAAUCACAUAUGAUUUAUAUUGACAAAAAAUAAUGAUGCCUAAAUAAAUCAUAUGUGAUUAGAUACAUAUAAUCACAUAUGAUUAUAUACACGAGAAAAACUAUUGAAUCGAGAACACAAAUAUCAAUAUUAUCCACAUAUAUCAUAUGUGAUUAAAUGCAUAUAAUCACAUGUGAUUAUUUGUAUCUAAGCACAUAGAAUUUAUGUGGAAAAUAUUUAUUUUCGCGUUCUCGAUUCAGUUGUUGUUCUUGUGUGCUUAAUUACAUGAGAGUAUAUGCAUCUAAUUAGAUAUGAUUUAUAUGUACAAUAUUCAUUUUCACAUUCUUGUUCAAUGAUUAUUCUUGUACAUUUAGUCAUAUAUGAUUUCUAUACACAAGAUUCAUUUUCUCGUUUUUGAUUAAAUAGUUUUUCUUUUUCCACAUUAAUCAUAUGUGAUUAAUACAUAAAAUCACAUAUGAUUAAAUACAUAAGAAAAAAUAUUAACUCGUGAAUAUUAUCAAUACAAAUCGUAUGCGAUAUGAUACAUAUAAUCAGAUUUGAUUAAGUACAUGAGUACAACUAUUGAAUUAAGAAGGAAAAUGAAUCUUGUCCACAUAAAUCAUAUGUGAUUAAAUACAUAUAAUCACAUGUGAUUAAAUAUAUUAGAUCAAUUAUUGAAUCGAUGCAAGAAUAAACAUUUUCCAUACGAAUCAUAAGUGAUUAAAUAUAUAUAAUCACAUAUGAUUAAAUACACAAGAACAACUAUUGAAUCAACACGUGAAAACAACUAUUGUCCAUAUAAAUCAUAUGUGAUUAAAUACAUACAAUCACAUGUGAUUUAAUACACGAUGCCAAUUAUUAAAUCGAAACAGGAAAAUAAAUAUGGCCCACGUAAAUAAUAUUUUAUUAAAUACAUAUAAUCACAUAUAGUUAUAUGUAUCUAAUCACAUAUGAUUUAUGUGGACAAUAUUCAUUUUUGCAUUCUCGAUUCACUAGUUUUUCACGUGUAUUUAAUCACAUGUGAUUAUAUGUAUUUAAUAACAUAUAAAUCAUAUAUAAUUCGAUACAUAUAACAACAUGUGACUCGACACAUAUAAUCAUAUGUGAUUAUAUACAAGAGAAAACCUAACGAAUCAAAAACACAAUAACAAAUCUGUGUAGGUGGGGGUGAGGGUGGUGGUGGCGGGUAGUGGAGGCGGGGUGGUGGUGAUUGGUGGUGAUCGUGUGUUGUGAAGGGUGGUGGUGGGUGGGUGGGUGGGUGGCUGCAAGUGGUGGUGAUAGUGACGGGUGAUGGUUUUGGUGUGUGGUGGCGGCGAGUGGUGAUGGUUGGGUGGUGAUGAUGAUGGGUGGUGAUGGUGGUGGCGGGUAGUGGUUAGUGGUAGUGGUGGGUGGGUGGUGGUGAUGGUAGGUGGUAGUGGGUGGUGGUUGGUAGUGGUGGGUAGUGGUGGCGGGUGGUGGUUGGUGGUAAUAGUGAUGGGUGAUGAUGAUGGUGGCAGGUGGUGGUUGGUAGUAGUGGUGGGUGGUGGUUGGUGGUGGUGGUGGUGGUGGGUAGUGAUGGGUGGUUGGUAGGGAUGGGUGGUGAUGGUGGUGGUGGGUGGAAAUGGUGGUGGCGGGUGGUAAUGGGUGGUGGUGGUGGUGGUGGUGGGUUGUGAUGGGUGGUGGUUGGUGGUGGUGGGUAGUAAUGGGUUGUGGCGGGUGGUGGUUGGUGGUAGGUGGUGGUGGCUAGUAAUGGAUGGUGGGUGCUGGUUGGUGGUGGUGGUUAAUGAUGGGUGGUGGUGACGAGUGAUGGUGGUUGGCGGUGUUGGGUUUUGAUGGAUGGUGGGUGGUGGGUGGUGGUGGGUAGUGAUGGGUGGUGGUGGUGACGGGUAGUGGUUGGUGGUGAUGAAGGUGGGUGGUGGUGGUGGUUGUGGUGGGUGGGUAGUGGUUGGUGGUGGUGGGUAGUGGUGGGUGGUGGUGGUAGGUAGUGGUUGUUGGUGGUGGCGGCGGGCGGUGGUUGGUGGUGGUGGGUAAGUGGUGGUGGGUGGUGGGUAGUGGUUGGUGGUGGUGGUGAUGGGUGGUAGGUGGUGGGUGGUGAUGGGUAGUAAUUGUUGGUGGUGGCAAGUGGUGGUGAUGGGUGGUAGGUGGGGGAUGCAGGUGGUGCUGGAAGGUGGUGGAGGUAGGUGGUGGUGGGAGAUGGUGGUGAUGGUUGUGGGUGGUGAUGGUGGUAGCGGGAGGUGGUGGAGGUGGGUGGUGGUGGAUGGUGGGUAGUGAUGGGUGGUGGGUGGGGGUUGGUGGGUGGUAGUUGGUGGUGGUGGUGGCGGGUGGUGGUGAGGGAUGGUGUUGGUUGGGUGGUGAGUGAUGUUAGUUAAUGAGUUUUUUAAUUGUUUGUAAUUAUUUUUGGAUUUAUAUGAAUAUUAUUUUAUUAUUUUAAUUAAAAAAAUUGUGUUUUUCAAA